GGGGAAUGUGGCGGGAAUUUCAAACCAAUUAUUUUUCAAAAUAGACCGAGGUUACUUAAUCACUUUCCCGUUUCAGAUUUAGGGAAAUUAAUUUACCCGGACAUUGCUUGUCCCUUUGUAAUACUUUUUAAAUAACUUAUUAGCCAUAAUUUACUGUAUUUUCAUGAAAUUAUUUGGAAAUUCUUCUCGUGUGUAAAUGGAUGCUAUUUA
rnacentral:lncRNA from 1 species